rnacentral:lncRNA from 1 species
AAAAUCUUCCCCGAUCGGUGGGGUUGGUUAUCAAGUGAUGCCAUUGUGUUAUUAACUUAUUAUGCCAUACUGAUGCAUGUCCCAUGUUUUCAAAAUGGCCAUUUUUAUAUAAAUCUUUUUUAAAUAUUUCUUUUUGAGUUUUCCUUUGCCUCUCUCUACUUCUAUCACUCAUGAAUCUUUACCUCCUUAAUCUUAUGGAAACCCUGAAAU